ACAAUAUCUUCAUCUUCCCACUCUCCUCAUUAAUCAGAACAAAUUCAUACCCUCAAUUCUCUCUCUCUAAUAACCCUUGUAAACCUAAUCUCCUCACCACCACUAUUCUUCUGCCGGUCACCACCACUUUUUAAAACAAAACCACAAAGAAACCCUAAAAAUUUUUGGUUACGGUUACGAUGGAAAUGGAUUUGCUGGCGGUGCCUACGGUGGUGGAUACGGAGGGGGUGGUGGCAGUUAUGGAGGCAGUGGUGGCGGAGGUGGAUCUUACGGCGGAAACCAUGGUGGAGGCGGUGGUUAUGGUGGCGCCAACGGUGGUGGUGGAGGAUACGGAUGUAAUUUACAAAAUGGAGGAUACGGAGGAGUGAUGGUGGGCAGCAGUAAUCCUACCCACUUGGAUUUAUUUGUGAAUUUGUAUAAAUAAUCACUUGGAAUUUUGAAAUUUUGAUGCGAGAGAGAGAAGGAGGUGGUGGCGGGGCAGUGGUGAGGAGGUAGUGGUGGCGGUGGUGAAAAGGGGGAGGAGGUGGUGGAGUUCAUAGUGGCGGUGGUGUUAGAGAGAGAGAGAGGUGUUUAGAGAGAGAGAGAGAGAGAGUGCAGACUUUUGAGGUUUAUAUAUAUAUAUAUAUAUAUAUAUAUAUAUAUAUAUAUAUAUGCUUAAAAUGACCAUUUUGCCCCUAAGGAAAAGGACAAAAACCAGAGUUUUUUUUAGAGAUCUGAGCUGACUUUGUUUUUAGACCAAAAUGGCAAAAAAUGAAACCGCAAAGUUGACCACGCCCCGUGGAGAGCUGGGCACGGCCCCGUGGUGGGCGUAGAAGUUUCUGAAGGUUUGUCUUGUUGUGCAAGGCCUGACCACGCCCCAUGCUCAGCUGGGCACGGCCCCGUGGUCAGGUUCUGUUUCCUUGUUUUAUCUUGGGAGAUGCUGCCGAGGGGUUGGGCAUGUCACCUUAUUCCUUCUUCUUGUAUUUAUGUUGGUUUUGGCUGCUUAUUUGUUCCUUUUGUUCUUUUAAGCUCGUUUGGUCCUGUAAAUUCAAAAGGAAGAAAGAAACGUGCUUUUUCCAACAUUAGUACUAAAAAGGGUUAGUUUUAUGCCUCAAUUGAUGUAAUUUAUAUGUUACAUUUUGCACACAUCAGAAAUCCAGGGUUUUCAUGUUAAAAGAAUUAGGGUAAUUAACAAGAGGAAUAUUGAGGAAGAGGAUGACUUGUGUUUGAACUUAUGUGCAAAUGUAUGCCAAAAAACAUGAAAAUAUGAAAGAUAUGUUUUGUCUUA